rnacentral:rRNA from 1 species
UACAGAGGGUGCAAGCGUUGUUCGGAAUUAUUGGGCGUAAAGGGCGCGUAGGCGGCGCGACAAGUCACCUGUGAAAUCUCCGAGCUUAACUCGGAGCCUGCAGGCGAAACUGUCGUGCUGGAGUAUGGGAGAGGUGCGUGGAAUUCCCGGUGUAGAGGUGAAAUUCGUAGAUAUCGGGAGGAACACCGGUGGCGAAGGCGGCGACCUGGGACAAUACUGACACUGAGGUGCGAAAGCGUGGGGAGCAAACAGG